GACGAACGCUGGCGGCGUGCCUAAUACAUGCCAGUAGAACGCACAGUUUAUACCUUAGCUUGCUACACCAUAGACUGUGAGUUGCGAACGGGUGAGUAACGCGUAGGUAACCUGCCUGGUAGCGGGGGAUAACUAUUGGAAACGAUAGCUAAUACCGCAUAAUAUUAAUUAUUGCAUGAUAAUUAAUUGAAAGGUGCAAUUGCACCACUACCAGAUGGACCUGCGUUGUAUUAGCUAGUAGGUGAGGUAACGGCUCACCUAGGCGACGAUACAUAGCCGACCUGAGAGGGUGAUCGGCCACACUGGGACUGGGACACGGCCCAGACUCCUGCGGGAGAGAGCAGUAGGGAAUCUUCGGCAAUGGCCGAAAGUCGGACCGAGCAACGCCGCGUGAGUGAAGAAGGUUGUCGGAUCGUAAAGCUCUGUUGUAAGGGAAGAGCGGGUGUGAGAGUGGAAAGUUCACACUGUGACGGUAUCUUACCAGAAAGGGACGGCUAACUACGUG
rnacentral:rRNA from 1 species